ACUCCGGCUUGAGUGUUAAAUGGCCAGCAGGAAUUAUCCACUAGAGAAGCGGAAGGGAGAGAAUGGAAAUGGCCGCAUGCAGCUCCUCUCCCUCAGACAGCUCGGGGCUCAGCGGAAUGAGCACAGUCUGCAGGACAAGUGCGGAGGACUUCAGUCCCCUCUACUGUAUAUUGGCUUUAGGACUCAAGUUGUCCCUGAAAUAGAGGAAGGUGUUUUCUAGGGUAGUGGUAAUUAUCACAGUCAAAAAAGUAGGCGAGAGCACUUAGGAAAACUGUGCGGAGAUCGGCUGCUGAUGUGUAAAUACUGCUGAAGCUGCUUAUUCAAGACAAGAAAAGAAGACAAAAAUAAA
rnacentral:lncRNA from 1 species